GACGAACGCUGGCGGCGUGCUUAACACAUGCAAGUCGAACGGAAAGGCCCUGCUUUUGUGGGGUGCUCGAGUGGCGAACGGGUGAGUAACACGUGAGUAACCUGCCCUUGACUUUGGGAUAACUUCAGGAAACUGGGGCUAAUACCGGAUAGGAGCUCCUGCUGCAUGGUGGGGGUUGGAAAGUUUCGGCGGUUGGGGAUGGACUCGCGGCUUAUCAGCUUGUUGGUGGGGUAGUGGCUUACCAAGGCUUUGACGGGUAGCCGGCCUGAGAGGGUGACCGGCCACAUUGGGACUGGGGUACGGCCCGGACGCCUACGGGAGGCAGGAGUGGGGAAUAUUGCACAAUGGGCGGAGGCCUGAUGCAGCAACGCCGCGUGCGGGAUGACGGCCUUCGGGUAGGAAACCGCUUUCGCCUGUGACGAAGCGUGAGUGACGGUAAUGGGUAAGAAGCACCGGCUAACUACGUG
rnacentral:rRNA from 1 species